AAGGUGCUGCAUGGUUGUCGUCAGCUCGUGCCGUGAGGUGUCAGGUUAAGUCCUAUAACGAGCGCAACCCCUACCGUUAGUUGCCAGCAUGUCAUGAUGGGGACUCUAACGGGACUGCCGGUGCAAACCGCGAGGAAGGUGGGGAUGACGUCAAAUCAUCACGGCCCUUACGUCCUGGGCCACACACGUGCUACAAUGGUCAGUACAGAGGGCAGCUACCUAGUGAUAGGAUGCGAAUCUCGAAAGCUGAUCUCAGUUCGGAUUGGAGUCUGCAACUCGACUCCAUGAAGCUGGAAUCGCUAGUAAUCGCGUAUCAGCCAUGACGCGGUGAAUACGUUCCCGGGCCUUGUACACACCGCCCGUCAAGCCAUGGAAGCUGGGGGUACCUGAAGUCGGUCACCGUAAGGAGCUGCCUAGGGUAAAACUAGUAACUGGGGCUAAGUCGUAACAAGGUAGCCGUACCGGAAGGUGCGGCUGGAUCACCUCCUU
rnacentral:rRNA from 1 species